rnacentral:lncRNA from 1 species
CAUGCCUCACGGAGACCACGGCGCCCAGCUCUGAGUGCGCUGGUAAUAUCUGUGGGCAGCUGUUGUGUCUGGUGCUCUGUCAAUGAAGUGUCUGUGUUGAGCAGAGAGAAGUGAAAUGUUGGUGAGUCGCGGAAGUGUGACCUGAAUCCAGGUGUUCUGGCCCCCCAC